rnacentral:rRNA from 1 species
UACGAAGGGGGCUAGCGUUGUUCGGAGUUACUGGGCGUAAAGGGCGCGUAGGCGGCUGGCUAAGUCGGGUGUGAAAGCCCGGGGCUCAACCCCGGAGGUGCACUCGGGACUGGCCGGCUUGAGGACGGGAGAGGAUGGUGGAAUUCCCAGUGUAGAGGUGAAAUUCGUAGAUAUUGGGAAGAACACCGGUGGCGAAGGCGGCCAUCUGGACCGUUUCUGACGCUGAGGCGCGAAAGCGUGGGGAGCAAACAGG